GGAAAUGGGCGCGUGUCCAAAAGGAGGACCUUGAAAUGUCUGACCAUCUUAAAAAAAUAAAAUAAAAAAUCUUAAAUGAUUGUAGGUUUUUUUUUUCCCCCCUCUGAUGAAUUCCAUCUCUUAAUUUCUUAAUCAAAAGGAACGUCGGGCUCAGCAUUCUUGCUGGCAAUCGUGUCCAUUAAUCAAUUUGAGGCCAUUAGCGAUAACGCAAUGGAGCCAUUGAGCACCCGUUGCCAUUGUGGCGCAGCUACCGCCGUUCCCUAAUUAACGUCGCUAUCUCCUGGCUGCCGUGUUCACACGGAGUUAAGGGCGAGCCAAGGCCACCCGAACUCCAUAAAAAUGCAAAUCUCAGCAACGUAAAAUCCCGCCGCAAAGCUGGACGUGAUUAAAUGUCUCCGUGUUGCGUACUAUUUGUGUUGCUGUGUCAAGAGGAGCUGGGGGUGGGGGGGGGAGAAAGAAAAAAAAUUUGGGACCACAAAUGUGUCCCGUUCAUAGGGCCCGGUGGAACGUCAGGGUGCGUUCUCGGCAAAUUCUCCCAGCGAAUGGAAUCGAACGGUGGCCUCACAAAAGCGCCUCUUGGACUUUGGACUAUCUGCUGCUUGGACAUUCCCGACACUCUAAAGUUCAGCCAAAGUUUUUCAAAAUUCUAUCUGCAUCGAUCUAGCAUUUCAGAGGAAAGCGAGGUUCCUCUUUGGGUAGCGAGCUGCCAUUUCAGCGGGUAACCAAGGCAACCGUCCCGGUCGAUGGACACAUCAUACGCAACGCCCCUUUUUUUUAUACCUCAGGGGGUAACGGAGCUAACGCCGGUGGAUGGCUAACGGCCUGAUGCAAAGUUUAUGACGGCGGCGGAUGCCGUCGCGUCGGCACGUCGCCGAAAUAAAAACCAUGGUGCACUUUGGCUAACCCCGAAUCUUCCUGAAUGAUUUAUGACUCCGUGGGGGUGGGGGGCGGGGGGCGCUGCGGUCGGUCGGCGCUUUUAGUGGCCACCGGCGAGGCCUCGUGGGGACUCAUCGUAUCAUCGCCCCCCCCCCCCCCCCCACCCCCCACCUCCACCCCAGACGGCUUGGCACAUUGCACCGUCCUCAUUUUCUUUUGACGUCAACAAUUUGCAGCUGACGAGUCGCGACGGUCAAAAUAUAUAAGCUUGACCCGCAACGCUAGGUGGCUAAGCGUUAGCAUUAAUGAUGCCGAUAAUUGCAUCGGUUAAGGAAGUUUUAACGUAACCUUAACGUAUGACACAUUGUUGUCGGAAGAGUGGGGG